AUUGAACGCUGGCGGCAGGCCUAACACAUGCAAGUCGAACGAGUGGCGGACGGGUGAGUAAUGUCUGGGAAACUGCCUGAUGGAGGGGGAUAACUACUGGACACGGUAGCUAAACCCGCAUACCAUCGGAUGUGCCCAGAUGGGAUGAGCGAGUAGGUGGGGUAAAGGCUCACCUAGGCGACGAUCCGUAGCUGGUCUGAGAGGAUGACCAGCCACACGGGAACUGAGACACGGUCCAGACGCCGACGGGAGGCAGCAGUGGGGAAUAUUGCACAAUGGGCGCAAGCCUGAUGCAGCCAUGCCGCGUGUAUGAAGAAGGCCUUCGGGGUGUAAAGUACUUUCAGCGGGGAGGCGUUACCCGCAGAAGAAGCACCGGCUAACUCCGUGCCAGCCGCCGCGGUAAUAC
rnacentral:rRNA from 1 species